rnacentral:sRNA from 1 species
AUGGCUGUCGUCAGCUCGUGCCGUGAGGUGUCAGGUUAAGUCCUAUAACGAGCGCAACCCCUAUCGUUAGUUGCCAUCAAGUAAAGUUGGGAACUCUAGCGAAACUGCCGGUGCAAACCGUGAGGAAGGUGGGGAUGACGUCAAAUCAUCACGGCCCUUACGUCCUGGGCCACACACGUGCUACAAUGGUCAGUACAGAAAGCAGCCACUAUGCGAAUAGGAGCUAAUCUUUAAAGCUGAUCUCAGUUCGGAUCGGAGUCUGCAACUCGACUCCGUGAAGCUGGAAUCGCUAGUAAUCGGAUAUCAGCCAUGAUCCGGUGAAUACGUUCCCGGGCCUUGUACACACCGCCCGUCAAGCCAUGGAAGCUGGGGGUACCUAAAGUCGGUCACCGAAAGGAGCCGCCUAGGGUAAAACUAGUAACUAGGGCUAAGUCGUAACAAGGUAGCCGUACCGGAAGGUGCGGCUGGAAUACCUCCUUUCUAGAGAAAGACGACUUUUGACUAUAAGUAUCAAUCCUUUGCGUUUGCUUGCUGUCAUUUUUUAAUAAUUAACCCUUAAAAUAGAAUCUCGUUAAGAGUCUCGUAGCUCAGCCGGUUAGAGCGCUACACUGAUAAUGUAGAGGUCGGCAGUUCGAGUCUGCCCGAGACUACUAAAUUCCAUUUAUGGAAAAAAGGGGGAUUAGCUCAGCUGGCUAGAGCGCCUGCCUUGCACGCAGGAGGUCAUCGGUUCGACUCCGAUAUUCUCCACAACUUCUUAAUGUAUAUUAAGAAUAAGAGUUCAUUGACAUAUUGAAAAUAUCAAGUACAAUUCAAAAUUAUUCCGUUAUCCAAUUGAAUAAUUUAUUGAGAUUGUACAGAGUUAACGUAAAUGAGUAUUUAAUAUUGUUAUUAUUAAAUACUAAAUAAUUUUACAAUUUAAGAAAGAGUUAAGAGUUACUUGUAACUUUUUAAGUUACAAUAGGCUAAUUAAGAGCGUAAGGGGAAUGCCUUGGCUCUCAGAGGCGAUGAAGGACGUGAUAAGCUGCGAUAAGCUUUGGGGAGUGGCACAAACACUUUGAUCCGAAGAUUUCCGAAUGGGGAAACCCGG